rnacentral:rRNA from 1 species
UACGGGGGGGGCAAGCGUUGUUCAGAAUUACUGGGCGUAAAGGGCUCGUAGGUGGCCAACUAAGUCAGACGUGAAAUCCCUCGGCUUAACCGGGGAACUGCGUCUGAUACUGGAUGGCUUGAGGUUGGGAGAGGGAUGCGGAAUUCCAGGUGUAGCGGUGAAAUGCGUAGAUAUCUGGAGGAACACCGGUGGCGAAGGCGGCGUCCUGGACCAACACUGACACUGAUGAGCGAAAGCCAGGGGAGCAAACGGG